rnacentral:lncRNA from 1 species
UCAUGGAUGAACAUGUUACUAAAGAUUCUCCCAGAGAAGGGAUAUAAGAUGUUUAGGGUUUCUGAAAGAGAUUUCUUCAGCUGAGUCAAAAUAUUGGAGGUGUUGGUAUCACUCGGGGGAUAAAAUAAUAUGAUUGGAACAUAAGUGGUGGGAGUUAGCUGAUCAAAUACACAGAGUUUGAAGGGUUCUUUUAGAUGAAUUUCUGGGGAAGAUGGUUUGAUGAUUUCUUUUGAAAGAAUCUGAGCCUCAAACUUCAUCAUUUCUUUGUUUUUUUUCCCUCACCAAUAUGUUUACACAAACUCUAUAGGAAGGAGAAAAAUAUAUAAACUAUUGGAGAUCAAAGCCUCCACUAUAAGAUCUUCUAGUUUUGGCUAAACUACUAUAAAAGCCCUUCACUUAGUUUACCUUUGUUAAAGCCCUUCACUAUAAGAUCUCCAAUAAAUCUGCCAAAAAUAUUGUUAAUAAUAGUAAACAAUUGUAUUAAACAUGGAUAAUAAGUGUAGAUAGUAACAUAUUUUGAUGAAUUACCCAAAAAUUCUAUUUUUUUCGAAAAAAUAUAUCGGAUUAGACCGGUUUUUUUUAAUUUAUCGGAUUAAGCUGAUUUUGGAGAGAGUGUGGAUUUGGCAGGAAAGUGCUUCUAGCUAGAUGCACUUUCCUGCUCAGUCAACAAAGCACAUCUAGCUAGACGCAUUUUCCCUAAUGGCUACCCACUCAGCGGUCGAAUUCUAAUGGCUCCCCCCUAACAGUAACUCUUUUCCCCUAUUUAAACCCCAAAUUUCCCACUUUUUCAAUUCACUCUCUACUCUCUCAAUUCAUUCUCAAUCCUCUCUUAAUUCUCACUCAAUUCUCUCAGUUCACUCUCAUUUUUUAUUAAAAUUGUAUUAAGGUUUUUUAAUUUUUUUGUAUUACAAUUUUUAUUUGUAUUUAUUGAAAUUAUUAAUGACAAAUUCUCUUAUUCGUUUAGAUGACAAGCACAUUUCGACCGUUCAAUUGCAAAUGGUAAGAAUUUUUUUAUUACUUUUAAUCUAAUCUAAUUUAAUUAUUUUGUUGUUAUAUUGAAAUUUAAGAUUUUGUAUUUUUUUUUAUAAUUAGCUAGAAGAUCGGAUUUUGGAGACGUACAUUCGCAAUCUAUCUACUCCUUUAUCGUUUUUAAUCGAACCAUACUUGUGAGAUGCAAGAUUUUUGCACAUCGCCCGUAUGGGUAAGGGGUGCAAAUUGGAACUCGAACUUGUAAGCGUGUUGGUGGAAAGAUGGUUAAAGUCUUAUUGGUUUGAGAUGUGAAAUUGGACUUAUAUUUUGUGAUGUUUUCACUUAGGUCUUAAGAUCAACUAUACUUUGUUAAAUGACAAGAUGAAACUAAAAAGGUAUGAGCUUGUAGGAUUCUGCCUACAAGGUCGCGACACUAGCUUUCAACAUUACUACGUCCUUUGUUUGAGGUCGCAACGUUAACUCAUUGUUUUCAAAGUCGCGACAUUGCACCAUCAAAGUCAUGACACCAUGUUUCUGCCAUUGAUGACGUGACGUGAAACCUUCAUGGUGGCGACGCCAACUCGAUAAAACUUGAUAACUUUGCAUUUUGGUCCUCAUAUGGUCUCGGGUUAUCAUAGGAGCUUUCAUAAGCUUGUAUAAACCCAAAUAUGAGUUGGAAGAAUGUUUUAUUGAUGUUUUAUCUGAAAUAACUUAUAUAAAAAAUGUCCUUUUUUGAAAGAACAAUUUUGUAUGUUGAUAUGUGAGGGUGAGUUACAAUAUAAAUGCAAGAGGUAGAAAAGAAAAAUGAAUGCUCUUAUUAUAGCUCCUAGUUGUUUACAUUGAUUUCACUCUUUAGUAAUUGUGCUUACUUCAAGAAGGAAAAAAUAAUGCUCAUAGCCUACACUUUGCACCCUUUUCUUUGAAUUAUUAUUAGCUUAAAUUGUCUAGUCACCUAUUUUAAGAAGUUAUUUAAUUUAAUAAUUUUCGAUAGCUUAAUUGCAAUUAGUGAUGUUUAUGAAUUGGGUUGGGUCGGAUUUGGGUCGAACUCAUGCAACGUAUUUAAAUCAAUUCUCUAAGUUCGGGACCGACUCAGUCCAGAAAAUGGACUUACUUUUUUGUUCAAACUCGAUCCGAUUUAAGAAAAGUAAAUCUGUGCUUGACCCACCCAUAUUUAAAAUCUAGUUGGAUUUUAAUAUAAGUGUUGAAUGCAUGUGUUUGAUUUAUAUAAUUAUAUAUUUUUUCAUAUUCAUAUUCAAAUUUUUAGUAGAUGAGCUGGGGCGUCACCUCAUCCUGUAUUUCUUUCCAAUUAUUUAAUGACACUUCAACAAUUCUUUUCACGUCAUUGAUACAUAAUUUUGGUAAUUUUUUAAACCCCUAAACCUUGAAUUUUGAACCCAAAACCCCAAACCCCAACUCAAACCCCAACCCUAAAUCUUAAACACUGACCUCUAAACUUGACCAAUUAAUUAAAAGUUGUAAUUUCCCAUUGAUAAGGGUUAUAAGUUGAAUUAAUUAUUCUAAGUUAUUUGAAUGGUUUAAUUAAAUGAAAAUUAUUAUUUAGAUCAAUAAACAAACCAAACAAAUCUAAACUGAGAAAAAGCUAAAAUGUUGGAUUAGUCGUCGGCUUCGUUUUUACAAUUGUUUUUGUCGAGGUAAGUUCAUAUAAAGAUUUAAAUUCAUUAAUUGAUGUUCUGAAUGUAGUUUUGAUAAAUAUUAUACUAUGUAUAGAUUAGAUUGAUAGUUAUUUGAUGUUUUGGUAUUUCAGAUAUAAUCAUAAUGAUAGCUAAAUUGAAUGUUAUAAUUGAAAAAUGUACAUUUCAUGCUCACGUGGCAAAUAUAAAAAAAUCCAUAUUUUUUAAAUUUAAAAGAAAUAAAAUGUGCAUUUUAAUUACAUUAAUUAAAAUUAAAAUUUUAUGUUGUUGAUUUGGAACUACGUAGCAAAUUGUUAAAAAUCUUUAUUGAUUUAAAAAAAAUUAAAAAAAUUAUAGAUUUUUUAAAGUUUUUUAACACUUGAUAAUUUUAUUUAUUUUUAGAUUUUUUUAAUUUUUUGAAGUUUUUUUUUUAAAUUUUGUACUCUUCUAAAAUGAAUUUGUACAACUGUUUGUGCAAAUUUAUUUGAAUAUGAAGAACUUAUUGUUUAGAUUCAUUCUAUAUGCAUAUUUUAUUUUAUUUUUUAAAAAGAUUUUAUAUUUUCAAAAAAUAAUUAUUCAAAAUAAAAAAAAAUAUUUUUUUUGCUGACUAGGCAUGCUAGGUUAGCAUACUACCACAUGGCAAAUUUUAGUGGUUUUUGUCAACCAUGUUAAUGGUUAAAUCAGUCAAGUGACAGUUUCUGUUAAUGAAAGGAACCAAUAAAUUUUUUUAUUUUUUAUUGAGAUUUUUUUUUGACCCUUGGCAAAAGAAAAUUACUUGUGCUAAUUGUAAGAAUUGACAUAAGUAACUUUAAGGACUAAUAUGAUAAUAAAAAAAAAGUUAAAUACGUCAUGUAAGUAUUUAUUAUCCAAAUAAUUUCCAUAUCUAUUUAUUAAUUAAAAUAUUCUAUAAUCCCAUAACCAAUUAACCAAUUAACCGACCUUAGCUAAGUUGGUAGAGCGGAGGACUGUAGUAGAAUAUCCAAACAGCCAUCCUUAGGUCGCUGGUUCGAAUCCGGCAGGUCGGAUAUUGCCCUUUUUUUUUUUUUUACAAUUUAUUUAAAAGAAUAGGUUAAAUUUUGCUUUUAGUCCCUAUACUUUACUUGGUACUUUUUCAAAUUUUAAAGUUGCUUUGCAUCACUUUUUCACCUUAUUAAGAGAAUAGGUUAAAUUCUACUAUUAGUCCUGAUCAAAUUGUAACUGUUAAAUAAAUUAGUUUUUGUUAUUUCUAAAAUUUGAAAUGAGAAAUACAUUAUCACAUAUCUAUUAUUUCCAAAGAUGAUAUCAGUUUAAUUCAAUCAAACUUUUUUAGAAUUUUCGAACCAUCCAUCAUACUUUAAUUUAGUAAAUGAAUCAUAAUAAAAUGAUAAAAAUAAAUCAUAUUUAUAAUUAAAUAUUUAUUAAGAAAUGAUAAAAAUUUAUAUAAUUUUUUUUAUAAAAGAUGUAUUCAAUAAAUGAAUACUUAUGUAAAUUCUUAUCAAUUUCGGUUUCAAUCUUUAUUUAAAAAUACUAUUUUUGUAAUUGUUUUAUUUAAAAUUUUGAAUAAAAAUAAUAAAAGAUAAAAGAUACUAUUUUUAAAUUAAAAUUUACAAUAUAUCAAUUUUUUUAUAUAUUUUUUACAAAUUCUUUAAUAAUGAUUAGAAUUUUUUUAUCACUAUAUUUCAAAUAUCAAAAUAAUUUAUAUCUAUUUAUUAUUUAAUUAAUUAUUAUUUUGAAUAAUGUUACUUUACAUUAAUCACAACAUGAUAAAAUGCUUUAAUUAUGAUUUGAAUUUUUUAUUAUAAUAUUUGAAUGAUUAAAUAAGUUAAUGUAUUUUAAUUAUAUUCAACCAUUCAAAUAAAGCAUAUUAUUGAACCUCAUGUGAUGGCUUGAUGGUCAAAGGUGUUCAUUGUCCUAGGUGUGACUUGAGUUCAAGUCGCGUUGGUUGUUUGGGCUUUACCUUGCUAUUGUAAUUCACAAAAAAAGGAAUAUUAUUUUAAACUAAUUAUGAUAAUUAUAAAAAAAUAUUUAAAAAAUUAAUUAAAAAUUAAACACAUAAAAUCACAUUGUAAUUAUAAAAAUUAAUUUGCAAAAAAAAAAAAAAAACUGUUGUUUUGCUGCCAUUUCACUGUUAUGUUGUUAUUGUUUGCAUAUUGUAUAAUUCUUGUUUUAUUGUUAAUUUAUUACUAUUUUAGAGGCAUUUGUUUGUUAAGUUACACCUAUCUUAGUGUUAUUUAAGUAUAAAAACAUUUUUAAAUUUAUUUUCAGUUUGUUGAGAAAUAUUUAUUUUACUGUUUUUAGUAUCUUUCAUGUUUUUUUUUUAAAAAUUAACAUAGACCGAAUUAGGUUCGGGUUUAACAUCUAUAAAACGAACCUAAAAUUUUGUUAGGACCGACUUGAACCCGACCCGACACAGGUAUAGUUUAAACCCUUGAAACAUCAUUUUCUCCGAUGUGGAGUCAUAGUUUAAAAUGUCCUCACACAGCUGCACCAAAAUGGCAUGGUGGAGUGGACACAUGCCUUUCUUCUACAAGCCUUCGUGCCUCUGAUGUUUUGGAAAGAUGCGCUUUAUUCUACGACCUUUAUAAUCAAAAUACUUACUUCAAAGGCUAUUCAUCACAGGAACUCCUCAUGAAAUGGUCUUUGGAAGCAAGCUAGAUUAUGGUUAUCUAAAGGUCUUUGGCUGUAAGUGUUUUCCUUACCUUAUACCUUUCAAUAAAAAUAAACUUGAAUCUCAUUCAAUGCCUUGAACAUGCCUUGGUUAUUGUUCAAAUCACAAAGGUUACAAGUGUCUUACAGAUGAUGGGAGGGCCGAUAUGGUAUUACGUGAAUCAAUAAAUUCGAUACGGGUAUGAGUAAUGGUAUGAAUCGAAAAGGAAAUGAAUAUGUUCUUAGUAGUAGAAACUAUGGUAUUAUUUGGUUAUAUUAAAUUGUUGAAUGCAAUAUUUGUAUGAAUUGAUAUACAAAGCUAUUAUGCAUAUAUCAUAUCUUAAUGAAAUGUGUAUUGGCUAAAGGCUGAAUUGGAAUUGAUUGUGCAUAAUCUCGGUUUUGAUAUAUGCAUGUUAAUAGUUUUGGUUGAAUUAACUUGAAUCAUAAAAGUAUUGUUGAGCUUUAUCACUUAGCGUAUGGUUUGUUUAUUCCAUGUGCAGAUAUCCAUAAAUCUUGAAGCCUCGAGAGGUGAAACAAUGUCCAAAUUGUUGAUUCUGGACUCAGAAAUGUUUGCACAAUUCUCACAUUUCAAUAGAUGACAUGUACCUAAAAUUGGACCGAUUUUUAGGUUAUAAAUGGUCAAAUUAGUGUAAUUGAAUAAUGUAUGGAAAUGAAUAGUUCAUGAAAUUGGACCUAUAUAUUGUGAUGUUUGUCAUUUAGGUCUUAAGAUCAGCUAUACUUUGUUAAAUGGCAAGUUGAAAUUACAGAGUUAUGAGCUUGUAGGAUAUUCAGCCUACAAGGUCGUGACACCAGCUUUCAACGUCACGGCGUCUCCUGUUUAAGGUCACGAUGUCAACUCCCUGUUUUCAUUGCGACAUUGCACCAUCAGAGUCGCGACACCAUGUUUUUGCCAUUGAUGUCGUGACGUGAAACCUUCAUGGUGGCGGCGCCAACUCGAUAAAAUUUAAAAACUUUACAUUUUGGUCAUCAUGUGAUCUCAGAUUAUCAUAGGAGCUUUCGUAAGCUCUUAUAACCCCGGAUAUGAGUUGAAAUAAUGUUUUAUUGAUGUUUUAUCUGAAAUAACUUGUAUAAAUUAUUGAAUGGAUCGAUAUUGUAUUCCUAGUUACUUUGACAAUGAAUGUGACAUCCCGUAACUCGGACCCGACGAUCAGGUCGGAUAUAGGGUGUUACAGAUUCUUUAAAAGAAAUUAGUUUUAGAUGUAUUUGAUGAUAAAAUUAAAUCAACUAGAUUGAUAUGACAGUUUUAUUAUUUUAAAAAUUAUAUUAAAAAUGUAUUUUUGAUAUUUAAAUUAAAAUGAAAAUAUUUUUAUUAAUAAAUAUUAAUUGUAUAGGUCAAAUUUUGCUAUUGACCCUAUAUUUUGCAUAAGUUGUAAAUUUAAUACCAAUAAUUUAAUUUCGUUAUUUUCAGUCUCUAUGCUUUUAGAAUUUGAAAAUUUCAGUCCAGUAAUUAUAAAAUUCAUUAAGUUCUGUUAUUUUCAAAAUCUGAUAAGUCAAAUAUAUUAUCGCAUGUGUAAUGUUAUGUCAGCUUGUUAGUCUCAUAUAUUACUCACAAAAAAUUCAGUUAAUAGAUUUAAUGAGUGUUGUUUACAUUAAGACUAAAAUUUCGAAAUUAAAAGGAAUAUAAUGACUAAAAUUGAUCCAAUUGGAGAAUAUAAACCAAAUCUAUGACUUUACGAUUCAUACAUGAUUAAUAGCAUAAUUUAACUAAACAAAUUUGACUGUUACCAUUUGAUUAGGACUAAAAUUAAUCAAAUUAAAGCGCAAAUAUUAAUUUCAUAACUUAUAUAAAAGUACAUGGACUAAUAACAAAAUGUAACCAAUUUUAAUGUCCUUUUUUGAAAGAAUAAUUUUUUAUGUUGAUAUGUCAGGUAGAGGUGCUCAUGGGCCGGGCCCGGCCGGGUUCGGGCCAAGCCCAUAAAAAAUUUCGGCCCGGCCCGAAAUAUGGGCCUGAAAUUUUGUCCAGGCCCAGGCCCGGCCCGGGAAAAAAAUCAUAAGCCCGGGCCCAGCCCGGCCCAUUUUUUAAAUAAAUACCAAAAAAUUAUUUUAAAAAUUAAAAAAAGUAUUUUAAAAUACUUUUUAAAAUUUUAUAUUUUAAAAUUAAAAAAAUUUUAAAAAUAUUUUAAAAAUAUUUUAAAAUUAAAAAAUAAUAAAAAAGUAUUUUAAAAUUAAAAAAUUUAAAAAAUAAAUAUAUUUAUUAUAUCGGGCCGGGUCGGGCCCGGGCCAAAAAACUGGUGCCCGAGGCUGGGCCCGUUUUCUAAACGGGCCUAGUUUUUUUGCCCAAUCCCAUAUUUCGGGCCUAUAUUUUUACCCAAACCCUCCCAUAUUUCGGGCGGACCGUCGGGUAAUGUCAGGGUGAGUUACAAUAUAAAUGCAAGAGGUAGAUAGGGGUGAACAAAAUUCGAUUCUAUUCGAUUCGAAAAACUCGAUAAAAAAACUAAAUUUUGAAUUAACUAGUUUGAGUUAUUCGGAUCAACUCGAAUAAAAAAAUUAAAAUUUCCGGUUUAACUCGAAUAUGAAUUACACAAUUCGAGUAAACAGAAAAUCUAAAUAAGAAAAGACAAAACCACGUCGUUUUGGUAAAUGUUUAUCUUUUCUAAAGUUAAAAGUCAAAACCAUUAAAUUAAAAGGCAAAACUAUUUUGUUUUGAUAAAUGUUUACCAAUCAGUCUUACUUAUGUAAUUAAAUAAUCUUGUACUUCGUCUACUAGUUAAAUAAUCAAUCCAUAUAAACACAAUAUUGAGUAUAAAUAAUGUGAUUCGUUAACUCGACUUCAAAUUUUUUCGAUUCGAAAACUAUUCAAAUUAAUUUAAUUACCAAAAAAAAUUCGUCAACUCAAUUAAUUUAAAAUUUUUUAAGUCGAUUUUACUCGACGUGACUCAACGCUGAACGGUCAGAUUGUUUAAAUUGAAUUCACUCAGUAGUAACUGUGCUUACCUACUUGCCACUUGGACGACAGACUUUCGACCAACUUAUUUAUGUGUAUUUAAUUUUCUGCAGUUUGUGUUCAAAUUAAAGCGUACUUCAAAAAUGAAAAAUUUAAUGCUCCUAGCCUUAGCUUUUUCUUUGAAUUAUUAUUAUUAUUAUACUUAAUUAAAUAACUCUUGUUAGCUUAAUUACAAUUAGAGAUAUUCAUGUAUUGGGUCGAGUUAAGUUUGGAUUAAGCGCAAAUAAAGUAUUUAGAUUACUUCUUUAAGUUCGGGUUCAGCUCAAUCCAAAAAAUAAGUUUAUUUUUUAUCCAAACCUUUAAAAAAAAAACUCGAAUCUAACCCGAUCAUAUUUAAGUUUUUUAAAUUAAUUUUUAUUUAAAAAUAGUUUUUUUUACUUUUAUUUAUUUUUUAUCCCUCUAAAAUAAUUUUUUUAACUUCGUCCUUAGUGUUGGAUAUAAAUAUAAAAGAAUAACCAUAAUUGAUGCUUUGAAUGUGUUCUCCAUUCAUGUAUUUAAACUGGUUUUUUUGGUAAAAAAAUAUUUUUUAACAGGUAUGAUUUGAUAAUAUUAAAAUCUAGCUUCCAAAUGAUUAGAAUCAGAAUUUCACUGUUGAGAUUUUUUAAGAAAUUGACUCUUAAAUGUACUAUUUUUUUCCUUUGAAAAGACAGUAUAAAUAGGAGAUUAUUCCUUAAACUUCUCCCAUUAUUUUAUUCUUGGUGUUUUGCGGAAUUACACGAGAGAGAAAUUUUGUUAGGAGAUUGGGUUUUAAACCAGACCGUCUGUGAACCCUCUAAUCUUUCAUGGGAAUUGAACCUAGUCUGGUUUCGUUGGUUUUCUUUUAGCUUAUUUUUCGAUCAUAUUUUCAACCAACUGCUUUUGUUUUUUUCAAUUUUGAUUCCUUUAUUAGAAGAGCAAUAUCAAUUAUGUUCCACAUUCUUUAUCCGGGUAUAUAGAUAUUGAAAUACUGUGUUAACCUUGGGGCGACGUCCACUAUACGAUUACACAGAUCAGAACAAAUUUGCUUUUAAGACAGUGAUUCUUCCACAGCACGAUGAUUGCUCUAUUUAUUUAGACUCAGCUUGAUUUCCUAUUAGCGCUAAACAGUUUUAUUUUAUAGUAGUAUAUUUUUAACAUUAAUAACAUGAAAACAUUACUGAAAUAUCAUUAAGAUGAGGCAAUUAUUUCUAAUGAAAAUGAUUUCCAAUAAAUAAUAUUUUAAACACUAACUGAUAAAAAAAAUUGAAAAGAAAAGAAAAACUAAUAAUCCGGCCAACAUAGCAAUCCAACAGCAAUGCUUAAAAAUACCUGAAAGACGAAAUAUAAAAGUAGAAACCAUAUACUACUGAAAAUACCUUAUUCAUAGUAGAGGAGAUUUUAUUGAUCAUCAAAGUGUUUCCAGAGACGCUUACAAGCUUGAAAUCUGGGGACUUGGAGAAGCAAAGUUUAGGAAUUCAUGAUCUUUUUGUAGUGCAGACAUUUUGGUUUCAUCUAAGGUUAUCCAAGCUUCUAUUCCUUUCCCAUAUUUGGUUUCAACGAGAACAGUGAAGUUUCUAAAUUCAGGCCCUGCUUUUCCCAGUAUUGCAAAUGAACAAGGUUGCCCCCAUCCGAAAUCUAGUUUGUGAAAAUCAGUAUUGAUCCAGCUGGUGAAGGCGAAAAUAUCAGGUUUUUCAAAGGAAAACAACAGCUCCAGCUGGUUCAAGUGCUCAGCGAUGGCUUCAAACCCUUGUUCACCUUGGAUUGAUCUCAUGUAUUCGUCGUCGAAAACAGCAAUGGAUUGACUCAUCAACUCGACCAAUGUGGAUAACUCGGUGCCUGUCUCGGCUGGAUUCGAGAGUGCACUCGCCCACCAAAAUACAUUCCCAACCGAACCAUCUAAUGUCGUAAGCUUCCCUUUUGACCUCAUGUUCACUGCUUGGACAACAAUGGAUGGUUUCAAGGUUCCUUGUAUCGCCCUGGAUGCCGCCAUUGAACAUUUCCAGAUGAAACCAGAGACAGCUUCGGUUCGUGUCGGUGUAGUCUCGACUUCCCCUUUUGCCAUGUCCUUUAGGAUGGCUACUGCUUCCUCAUUAAACACAAAUUUCCGUGUAACAAAAUUACCUUUGGUGAACCAUAAGUUUUCCAUCAUGGAUAUGUAAUUCUUGGGCAUUGGAUUUUUAGGUGGAAAGAUCAAGGAGGCCUUAGAUAAGGCAGGAAAUUUAAUUUCAGGGUGGUAUCCUUGGCAGAUUGUUCUCCAAACAAAGGUGAAAAUGAAGCCUGUUUUGGCGUCAGUGAUUUUAUGUGAGGCGCAGAUGCCUAAAGCUACUCCCCCACAUGCAAACAUGGUGACUUGACAAACCAAGAGAGGACCCUGAUGAUUUGAUUCCUUGUAGAAAGGAGGGCAUGGGAGCAAGUUGUUCAAGGUCUCAAUUUGAUGAUGCCUGAGAAACUCGGAUAAUCGACAACCGAUUCGAGCCGAUAAAAACGGAACACCGGCGUCGAAAUCAUGGAUGAACAUGUUACUAAAGAUUCUCCCAGAGAAGGGAUAUAAGAUGUUUAGGGUUUCUGAAAGAGAUUUCUUCAGCUGAGUCAAAAUAUUGGAGGUGUUGGUAUCACUCGGGGGAUAAAAUAAUAUGAUUGGAACAUAAGUGGUGGGAGUUAGCUGAUCAAAUACACAGAGUUUGAAGGGUUCUUUUAGAUGAAUUUCUGGGGAAGAUGGUUUGAUGAUUUCUUUUGAAAGAAUCUGAGCCUCAAACUUCAUCAUUUCUUUGUUUUUUUUCCCUCACC